UAUGAGGUGAACGAAAGUAACAGCCAUAUGUCAUUGUUCUUCUUCAUCUCUUAGAACACGUUUGCCUUUCCUUGAACGCUGAAGUAAUCUUAGAUUGUACGUCAGGCUUCGUUCCAAAGGACAUAUACAGGCAUUUCUCUCCAACCAACAAGGAUGGAUCCUAUUUAUCUUGUGAACUCCUGGUUACAAACGGUGGACCAAUAUGAUUCAACAUGAAAAGAAGAUACUUUACUUUCUGUACAAGGAUCUGAAGAAGAAAAAAAGGUUCUGAAGUUGUCUGUCGAGUGUGUGGACGAUGCAGAUGUAUGUUCUGGAAUCGUCGUAUAUGAUGACGACAACGCGACAUUUUAUAUUUCUUCCCACCCGGAGACGGCCAACAACGAUGGACAAGGCCUUCGCAGUUCUGUGACAGUGUUCCAGUUUCCCUGUUAUGCGAAUGAUGGGGAUGUUACAAUGUCCCGAGGUCCACCAGCGACUGACGGGGAUCCAAACCCCAGUGUGCAGGAGGUUGAAGAUGAAUGACGCUAUUUAAUUUGCUUUAACUCACUAACACUCUUGAUGUGGCUUCAUAAUAUUGUCUUAAUGUUGAGGUAGAUAUCCAGUGUAUGUCAGUUCAUGACUCUCUCCUUGGAACCAAGGAAAAGGUCAAUUACAGAUAUAUAGAUGAUGUCCAGUCCUGCCUUAACUUGACCAGUGAGUUGCAUCAAUAAUGACUUGUGCAUGAGAUGUGUGGUUAUAACACAGAUAUAAACUGCUCAGCCACAUCAUUCUAGCAACUCGGGAAAGAGGCUUUUUGUCAUUCUGCUCCUUCUGCCUGGAAUAUGUUGCAGAAAGACUGGACACUAACUGAGUUAAUUCAGUUUUCAAAUCCAAAUUGAAAAUUCUUGUUUUCCAUAAAGGGUUUGUUAAUUUAAUCUAGAUUAUUUUAUUUGUUUGCCAUUUGUGCUUUAAAUGUGUAACUUUUGUAACUGUGUUUCACAUUUGCUGCUGCCUAUCUUGACCAGG